rnacentral:rRNA from 1 species
GUCCACGCCGUAAACGAUGGAUGCUAGCCGUCGGCAAGCUUGCUUGUCGGUGGCGCAGCUAACGCAUUAAGCAUCCCGCCUGGGGAGUACGGCCGCAAGGUUAAAACUCAAAGGAAUUGACGGGGGCCCGCACAAGCGGUGGAGCAUGUGGUUUAAUUCGACGCAACGCGAAGAACCUUACCAAGCCUUGACAUGUCCGGACGGUUUCCAGAAAUGGGAUCCUCCCAGCAAUGGGUCGGAACACAGGUGCUGCAUGGCUGUCGU